AGAGUUUGAUCCUGGCUCAGAACGAACGCUGGCGGCGUGCCUAACACAUGCAAGUCGAACGAGAAACUUUCCGCUUGCGGAAAGGAGUAAAGUGGCGCACGGGUGAGUAACGCGUGGGUAACCUACCCCUGAAAUCGGGAUAACUUCGCGAAAGCGGUGCUAAUACCGAAUAUGGUCCCAGAGAUUGUGGUCUAUGGGAUCAAAGGUGACCCUUCAUGAAAGUUGCCGUUCAAGGAUGGGCCCGCGUACCAUUAGCUUGUUGGUAGGGUAACGGCCUACCAAGGCUGCGAUGGUUAGCUGGUCUGAGAGGAUGAUCAGCCACACUGGAACUGGAACACGGUCCAGACUCCUACGGGAGGCAGCAGUGAGGAAUUUUGCGCAAUGGGGGCAACCCUGACGCAGCAACGUCGCGUGAGUGAAGAAGGCUUUCGGGUUGUAAAGCUCUGUCAAGCGGGAAAAAAAUCCCAUGAUUAA
rnacentral:rRNA from 1 species